rnacentral:rRNA from 1 species
CCUACGUGAGGCAGCAGUGGGGGAUAUUGCACAAUGGGGGAAACCCUGAUGCAGCGACGCCGCGUGUGGGAAGACGGUCCUCUGGAUUGUAAACCACUGUCCCCAGGGACGAAGAUGACGGUACCUGGGGAGGAAGCUCCGGCUAACUACGUGCCAGCAGCCGCGGUAAUACGUAGGGAGCGAGCGUUGUCCGGAAUUACUGGGUGUAAAGGGAGCGUAGGCGGGACUGCAAGUUGGGUGUCAAAUCUACCGGCUCAACCGGUAGCCGCACUCAAAACUGCAGUUCUUGAGUGAAGUAGAGGCAGGCGGAAUUCCUAGUGGAGCGGUGAAAGGCGUAGAUAUUAGGAGGAACACCAGUGGCGAAGGCGGCCUGCUGGGCUUUUACUGACGCUGAGGCUCGAAAGUGUGGGGAGCAAACAGGAUUAGAUACCCUAGUAGUC